GACGAACGCUGGCGGCAUGCCUAACACAUGCAAGUCGAACGAAACCUUCGGGUCUUGGUGCGCACCGCUACUUAACACCUGGUGACCUACCCUUGGGUUCGCAAUACCUCCCCGCGAGAUGUGCUAAUAACGGAUAAUGUCUUCGGACCAAAGAUUUCUGGCCGUUGGGUGGGCCCGCGUUGGAUUCGCUAGUUGGUAGGGUAAAAGCCUACCAUUGCGACGAUCCAUAGCUGGUCUGAUAGGAGGCUCAGCUACAAUGGGACUGAGACCCGGCCCACACUCCGACGGGAGGCAGCAGUAGGGAACAUUGUAGAAGGGGGGAAAGUCUGACCAAGCCAUGCCGGGUGAGUGAUGAAGGCCUUAGGGUUGUAAAGCUCUUUUAGCCGGGAUGAUAAUGACAGUACCGGGAGAAGAAGCUCCGGCUAACUACGUG
rnacentral:rRNA from 1 species